rnacentral:rRNA from 1 species
CCUACGGAGGCUGCAGUGGGGAAUAUUGGACAAUGGGCGAAAGCCUGAUCCAGCCAUGCCGCGUGUGUGAAGAAGGCCUUCGGGUUGUAAAGCACUUUCAGUGGGGAAGAAAGCCUUGGGGCUAAUACCCUCGAGGAAGGACAUCACCCACAGAAGAAGCACCGGCUAACUCCGUGCCAGCAGCCGCGGUAAUACGGAGGGUGCGAGCGUUAAUCGGAAUUACUGGGCGUAAAGCGCGCGUAGGCGGUCUGAUAAGCCGGUUGUGAAAGCCCCGGGCUCAACCUGGGAACGGCAUCCGGAACUGUCAGGCUAGAGUGCAGGAGAGGAAGGUAGAAUUCCCGGUGUAGCGGUGAAAUGCGUAGAGAUCGGGAGGAAUACCAGUGGCGAAGGCGGCCUUCUGGACUGACACUGACGCUGAGGUGCGAAAGCGUGGGUAGCAAACAGGAUUAGAUACCCAGUAGU